UUAGUCCUGAGCUUUGGGUUACCUAACUUAUAUUCCCGCUCCAACUAAAUUCAAGAACCCGGUGCUCAGUGGCAAAUCGUUCAUCUCAUUAUCUCAAUUCCUUCAUUUCUCCUAUACUCAGAGAUUUCUCUUCUGUUUCUAGGGUUCAUUUGAAGAAAUGAUGGUGGUAGAUCCAAUGAGGAUGGAAGAGAGGUAAGAGACAGCAAUAUGCAUGACAGGCUGCCCGAGUCUUGCAAAUUUUGUCAAAGAUGAUACGGUUUUCGGAUGAGUUUUUGGAAUUCCUUGAUGGAAGUGCUUUUAUGGUGAAACUCCACGAUCCUCAAUAGCUGUACAUAAUACAAACACAUUCAAAAUGCCACACUCCAGGUAUUGGGUAUCACUUCAUGACACAUAUAAAUCAAACACAAACUAUCCUGGAAAUUACUUGGGUGAUACGUUGAUCCUGGUAUCAGGGCAACCCAAACAAUCCAGUCCAAAAACACCCUCUUUUGUUUCAACUUUUAUCAUUGCCUUCCCUUUCAUGUCUUAUCCACAUUUCUCCAUUAUUAAAAAAAUGGCUUAUAUUCUCAGAAAAGAUUUACGUAAAGCAGUCAUGGCUGAGGGUUCAGAUAUUGAUGAGCUUGUGGAUGUUGAUGAAGUAAUUAAUUUUUUAUUAUAACAUCUUUUUGUUAAAAUGAUUUUUGUUAAAGGCUUCGCCAAGAAAUAAUGUAUUGAGAGCAGUAUAUAAUCAACUUUUGAAGAGAAGAAAAUGGGGGAAAAUACAGAAUUUGUACGGAGCCUUGAAACUUAACAAACUUUUCUCCCAAUUUUGGUUCCUGGAUACGGCAUGUGGUCUCUCUACCAUCUUUCUCCCGACAGUGCCACUUCUGAGCAGCUGAAGGAACACUUUCAGCGCCAUGGAGAAAUCACGAAGGUUGUGCUGCUACCUUCUAAAGAUGGACAAGGGAAAUUUGGAUAUAUCCAUUUUGGUGAAAGGUCUAUUGAGCUGAAGUCUGUCAAAGGCACAGAAAAGUACGAGAUUGAUGGUAAUGCAUUAAUAGACAGUCAUGUUUAUGUUGACUCUUGAUUUGGGAGGGAGGACCAUGUGAAGGUCCAAAAUAUUAGUUAGUUUAUAUCUUUGGCUCCCUAUAGGUCUUCAUAAAUAUUAGUCAAACAAUAUUUUCUUACAUAUUUUUUUAUAUAAAUAACUUUUUGUGUAUUUUUUAAUCCUUCGCAAAUAUAGAUAUUAAGUGUUAAAAUAGUGUGUUGAGUUGCGUGAAAAUAAAAAUUGUAACACCUACUUCUAUUUAGAUCAAUCCUAAAGGUGAUUUUUUUUUUUACCAUAAUUGAAAAAGAAAAUUUGAAACAAAUAAGCAAAAAUAUAUUAAAAAAUCACUUUAUAGACAAUUUUUGAAACUAUUUUCCAA